AGCAGCUGCCCCUGCAAAUGUCAGCGCCAGCCCAGUCAAAAGAGCUUGAAACCUACCAAGCCGGAGGACUGUGCUGUGCCUCUCUCGCCCACAUUUUCCCCAAGCACUCUCAGGAACCUGGCAACAGAAAAGUAUAGUAAGAAGAAACUGAAUUUGAAGUGGAUUCUUACAAAGGAAAAAGAAAAUCACUAUUGUAACUAUACCAAAUUACUAUGUAUGUGAGCUCCCAGCUUUGACAUCAAGUCGUUACAGCCACGUAAUGGGAUUACGGAUUAUGUGAUGCAACAAAAUUCAAAUAUGAAAACCAUCUCGGAGGCCGGGCGCGGUGGCUCACGCCUUUAAUCCCAGCACUUUGGGAGGCCGAGGUGGGUGGAUCAUUUGAGGUCAGAAGUUCAAGACCAGCCUGGCCAACACGGUGAAACCCUGUCUCUACUAAAAAUACAAAAAUUAACUGGGCGUGGUGGCACAUGCCUGUAAUCCCAGCUACUCGGGAGGCUGAGGCAGGAGAAUUGCUUGAACCUGGGAGGCGGAGGUUGCAGUGAGCCGAGAUCACGCCAUUGUUCUCCAGCCUGGGCAACAAGAGCAAAACUCUGUCUCAAAAAUAAAAUAAAAAAUUGCUUUAAAAAAUAAAAA
ensembl:lncRNA DLGAP1-AS2 DLGAP1 antisense RNA 2